UAAACUUUAAGUUAUAUUAAACCCCAAGCCUUCAAAGUUUGAAAAGAGGCCUCCUUAAGUUUAA
rnacentral:tRNA from 1 species